AAUUAGACAAGCAUUCUUAUUUUCUCUGCGUUUCUCUAGGUCUCUUCUCCUCUAAGCUCUAGCUUUGGUUACUAUUGUGUGUGGUGGUUUUCCUAUCUGAACAGAGGGAGGCCGGCUUCCCCUACCAGGAAGCGUGGGGGGUGCAAGUGCUAUCAGCAGAUCUCUGCAAUGGGUUCUCUACCUUCCGAGAGUUGUUGGGUUGGGGCGGGGAUCUAGGUUGGGCUUUGAUUGUAAUUCCCGUGUUGAGCCUCUGAUAACGGUGGUUAGGAUCCUUGUAAGGCUAUGAUACUUUUUAAGACGUAUUCUCUGCCUUUGAGGUGGUCUUUCUCCUGAUUCUACAACUUUGUUGGUGGCUAGUGGGCAACACCACAAAG
rnacentral:misc_RNA from 1 species